AUCCGCUCACACACACACAAUCUCCGAGAGACUCACACAAUUCAAGACUACUGGAAAGCCGAAAGUCUGGAAAAAAAAACAUUACGUCCUGUAUAACAAAGCAGCAGCAGAUGGGGAGCGGCAGAUUUCCAGACAAGCAAGAUUCUCCUACGGGCCAAAAGCGAUAGACUCGUCACUCUCCGAUCACUCCCGACCGGGAAUAGAAGACCCUUGGGGAACAAUAUCAGGAGAUGAACAGCAACGGUGCGAAUAUAGUCUAAGUGUCCAUGAGUUGCAUUCGAAAGCAGAAUCCAGGAUAACCGCGAAUUCCCUUCUGGUCCUCUGCCAGACUUUCUUUCUCAAGAAUGCUUACAUCCUUAACAAGGAUCUCUCUAUCUCCGCAAGCAAAUUCCUCUGCUAACUGUUGACCAGCA